UCUUAAGCCUCAGGCCAGCAGGGCUGGAGGCAGCAGUUGCUGCCUGGUGCUUAGGAAAGAACAUCUCCUAGUGGAGCUGCUGCUCUGGAGACAGCACAGAGGUGCUACCUGAUGUCUUGGCAAAAUUCUAGUUUUGAUGUACACAUGCUGCUUAAAAUAUUCUUCUGCUUCCAAUGGAUAUACUGUUCUUCUCACCCCAAAGUUUGUCUGGGAUUGUUAUGUGGCUGUUGCAUUUUCAAUCAAGAUGCCAUAUUUUAUUGCCUUAAACUCGAUUUGAAUUCUUGAAAAUGAACAACAAACAACCUGAACAGAAAUGUGUCAAGAGAUGCCCAUUGCUAUUGGAAAGCUGACAUGGAAAAUACAUUUAGCAGAAUCUCCCUUUCAAUUUAUUUUAUUACACAAAUACCAAAUCAAGGAAUAACUGUGGUUACUGUGUAUUAAUGACAAAUUAAUGGGGCAUCAUUGUAUUUAAAGCAAUAUAGAGAAGGCAAGCAUCUUUAAUUCUGACCAAGUUGUUGUAAUGAAAUAUUUUCUCAGGCACCUGUUUCUCUUGUAGGAGUGGAAAGCAUUGGUAUUGCUUACAAGUCUAAUACCAGUAUGACUUAUUGAUGAC